rnacentral:lncRNA from 1 species
AAUACAUAUUUUAUUGGAUAAAAAUUAAAAUAAAAGAAUAACUAAACGUAAAUAGAACAGAAGUUUCUCUAAUGAAAUCGUGAAAUACAAAUUAAUCCCCUCCCACUCAUUCCCUGACCAAUUUUGUUGUCAUCCAAAUAGAACCAUUUAAUUCCCUCCCACUCUCUCCCAGGCCACUUCACUUUAAUUGGUUUUUUAUUAAAAAACUAUCCAUCUUUAUCUUUUGUAAUCCUUUCCAAUUUGUGCGUGUGUGUGUGAAUGAUGAUAACAAAACAAAAACGCAUGGCUAUGGAGGCCACCUCACUUUGCCGCCGCCCAAAAGCACGCCACCCUCACCAGUCCACUCAUGCAUGCCAAAAUCAGCCACUCAGCAAAACUCACUCUCAUCUCUCAUUCUACUUCGAAAUUGUGAGUAUAUAUAAACUCAGCCAAUUUAAUUUUGAUUAGUUUAGUUGUGAUUGGAUUAUGUGAAAUUCAUAUUUUUGUGUUUGGUAAAAUUAGGAUUGAAAUUUUUACAUCUAUUAUUUGAAUAUUCUUAUGCUUAUCAGGUGCUUGAUAAAAUUCCUAAGAGAAUCUAGUUAAAAAAAAAAAAUAAAUAAAAUAUAUGCAAAUAAAUGAAGGAAUUUGAAGCAAAGUUCAGUAGGUUUUGAGAAACUUUUACAAAAUUAGGAUAUUAAGAUGAAUUUAUUUUUCAAUUUGGGCAGUGGGUUUGCGUGUGAUGAUAUCAGAUUUUUUUUCCCCUAAUAUUCUUUCAUAAGAACAUUCGAAAAUGGGAUCUUUCAAUUUUUUGUUCACUUCAACUUGGUAUGUAAUUAAUCAUCUUUCUUUAUUUUUUAAAGAAAAUUAUAGCUAAUAUUAAUAUAAUAAAAAGUGUUAAUAAAUUAUUUGAGUCCAACCGAUAUAAUAAUAAGUUAAGCUACAAAAUUUUGAUUAUAAAACACAUGUGUUUGUUGGAAGGACGAUUUUGAAGCUUGGGUUGCUGAAGUUUGCUUAAAAUAUUGUUGGAUUUGCUAGGAAGUGUAUAUGAAGUGACUAAAUAAAGGUCAAAAAGCAUUUUUUUCCCCAAGUGGUUGUAUGUUUAGUAAAAAAUAAUGUGCUUAUCUUCUUUUGUACUGGGAUAACAAAAAAGUAUGAAGAGUUUCCUCGAUUACUUUGUUUCAGAAAAUGUAUUGGAGUGAGGAAAAAGGUUCAAGUAGUCUUAAUGCAAAAUCGAAAUGUGCAAGCUAUCUUAUUUUUCUUUUUUGACUUAAUCUUUUAUUUCUUUCAACUUUAUAUUUAUUGUACUGUAAACGUUGAUUCAUUGAUUGCUUAAUAAUUUAAUUUAGUUCAAGUUUGACACCAACUGUUUAAUCGAUUAAGUUCAGAGCUUUGGAUGUAAAAUUUGUGUAAGUGAAUUGAGGUUGAUUCUAUGCUUGUAAUCUUUGAUUAGAUUGUUAAUUUGAAGUAAUAAUGAAAGCAAGUAUGUGCUUGUAAUCUCCUGUCUUUCAUUUAUAAUUUUUUUCCAUUUUUUUUGGAUGAAAGAAUUGAUUGCGGAUAUGUUUCAUUGAGAAAUUUAAUUAAUUUUGCUUUCUUACCUAAAUAUUUUUAUUUAUAGCUAUUUGCCUUGCUAUUUACUAUUCUUUCAUGCAUUGGCAAUAAGUUUUUCUUUUAGAAGAUUAUUCUCCUACACCAAUUAAGUGUUUUCUCAAGUUUUUAUUUUUAUUAAUAUUGUUUUUUUAAUCAUGUAAAGUCAAAUGAUAGAUAGAGAAAAAUGAUGUAUCAAUAAUAGAUGAUCAAAUUGUGAAAUACUUUUGGAAAAAUCUUUAAUUUUAUAAAGAUCGAAAAUGACAGGUACCUUCAAAGUCAUCAUCUACUACAACAUUGUCUUAUAGCACAACAAGGAUCAAAAGUUAAAAUCAAGGAAGAAGAUAGCAAAUUUAAGGAAGUUGAAGCAUUCAUGAAACAACAACCUGUUGUUUACUUAAUUAUGCUUUUGUGCAAUGUUACUUUUAUUUUUCUUCUACGAUGUAAUCUUAUUUUUAGACUAUUGAUUUUAUACCUUUUAGAUUUUAGAUUUCUUUGUGAUGAAUUAUAUUUAUGUUAAUAAUAUUUUUCACUUCAAAGUUCUUUUGUCGUUAAAUUUUGAAUUCUAUGACUACAUAUUGUUAUUAAAAUUUAUGUGAGACUAUAAAAAUUGUCCUUAAAAUAAAUUUGAGACUAUAUUAAUUACCAAUUGUAUUUGUAAAAAUUAUCAAAUGAUAACUACUUGAGAUGAUUGUGUAACGUCGCGAUAUGUAAAUUUCAACAACAGAAAAAUAGCGUUGGUAAUUGUAUCAUUGAACCUCUGAAAUAACGAUUUUUAGUAAUUAUCGAGACUAUAUUUACAUACUCUAGAGACAAUGAUAAGUGUAUAUUUUUCAUAUAUUUUGCUAUUAAUUUCUCUAUCUUUUUCUUGUUUUGGUCUUAAAU